AUUUCCAGCAACUGGGAGGUUUUCCUUGAAGUUCUUGAUGGCUGCUUCAGGUCUAAUUCAACCAUAAAUUUAAAUGGUUGAAAUUCUGAUUAAUUGACAAGUUAAGUUGAGAGGGGUAGAGAAGAUGAAGUCCAUGUCACAGCUUGCAGUUUUGUCAAGACGGUGGAAGCCUUCAGAGAUGAAGUUGGAUCCCUUCCAGGAGGUUGUAUUGGAAAGCAGUAGUGUGGACGAAUUGCGAGAGAAGCUUAGUGAAAUCAGUGGGAUUCCUUUGGAUGAUAUUGAAUUUGCUAAGGGUAGAGGAACAUUUCCCUGUGAUAUUUCUGUCCUUGAUAUUCAUCAAGAUUUAGACUGGAAUCCUAAAGUUUCUACCCUGAAUGUCUGGCCUCUUUAUAUCUGUGAUGAUGGUGCGGUCAUAUUUUAUAGGGAUAAAACAGAAGAAUUAAUGGAAUUGACAGAUGAGCAAAGAAAUGAACUGAUGAAAAAAGAAAGCAGUCGACUCCAGAAGACUGGACAUCGUGUAACAUACUCACCUCGUAAAGAGAAAGCACUAAAAAUAUAUCUGGAUGGAGCACCAAAUAAAGAUCUCACUCAAGACUGACUCUGAUAGUGUAGCAUUUUCCCUGGGGGAGUUUGGUUUUAAUUAGAUGGUUCACUACCACUGGGUAGUGCCAUUUUGGCCGGACAUGGUUGGGGUAACCCAGUGACACCAGCACUGAUUGGACUGCCCUACACCAAUCAGAAGCUCAGUGCCCAAUGGGCCACUGUUUUGACUCGGAAUCAUGUUGUGCACUAUAGUCAAAUGUACUGUAAAGUGAAAAGGGAUGUGCAAAAAAAUAAAAAAAAAAAACAAAAAAAGCUAACCUUCUAUUAGAAAAGGGGACAGGGGAAUGAGUAAACUUCUUUUAUUGCAGACAAAUGUGCACAUAGCCGCUAGUAAAACUAGCCUCAAACAGGAUGCUCAUAGCUUAAUAAUAAAAGCUGUGCAAAGGCCAUGAAUGAAUGAAUUUUCUGUUUAUUUCACUGAUACACACAUUACCUCAUUGACAAUUCAGAAGUAAAUCCAACGUGUGUUGACUCUUGGAAAGCAGCAAAAACAGGAGCUGAAGAAAAGAAAUUCUUAGAACCAGCCAUAACCCAGUAAGGAAUUGUGAAGUUGUGUUUUUAUUUUGUUUCAUUUUUUGCAGAGUAUUAAGAACAUUAUUCUGGAACAUCAGAACGUUUCCCUUAGACCGAUCCCAGCAGGUGGCAGCUCAGAUUGCUGCAGUGUUGUAAUUAUAACUGAUUGUACUUAAGUUAUGGAUGUAGAGAAUAUGUUUCAUUCAUUUAUUCAGCAUGUAAAUAAAAUUGAUCCUGUUGAGUUAUCAUAAUUGCAGUUCAACUAUCUGCCAUGAUUAUUCUUUUCACGUAUCAUUCAUUCUGUACAUUUGUGUACAUUGAGAAGUAUAGCAAUCUAUGUAAAUGUAAUCCUCAGUGAGGUUCCUCAGUGCUAGGUCCCAUAGGAUUGUCGUUGCCCUUGUUAAUGAGGUUUCUCUGUUCAGCGGCUUCAAUUUUUUUCUCUUUGUACAUCUAGUUUUGAAGAUUUACUUCAAGUUUGAAUCUUCUAGAAUGCUUGUAAGUCCAGUUUUAAUUUUUAGAGUCAAUUUGUAGUUACAUGUAGUUUAACUUUUGGGAAACGUCGUAACAUUGUUCAGAAUAAACUUGCUAAUGAGGUCAGGUCAUGGUACAGACUGAUGCAGUCAACAUGAUUUCAUUGCAGAGUUUAUUAGUAUCAGCAAGUUUUUGCUUUGCUAAAUAAAAGUACUCAAUGCACACAAUUCUACAUAAAUUUUGACAUACCAUCUAAUUUAUAAAAAUCAAUAAAAAAGGUUUUGGUAAAACUUUUUCAUGCCAGAUGCUGUUUACAACAAUGAACAUGCCAAUAAAACAUUUGUUCAUUCUGUUGUGUUAUUUUAGUCAUUAAACUUCUGUGGAUGAAGAAUCUGGGUUAAGAAUAGAUUUGUCAUCUUUAAAUAUGACAUUUUGUAAUGUGUAUUGGAUAUCUCAUUUCUAUGAUAAAGGUAUAUUUACAGUAAAGUUCUCAUAAGAGAAAUGAAAAGCUGUGUUAAUAUCUAACUUUGGGGAACCCUGUCAGUAUUUCAGAUCCGAUUUUUACCCUUUUUUUCUUAUAAGUAAGAAAGAUAAAAUUAGAAAAUACUGUUAGCAAAUGUGGCUCUGCCAUUUGAAUAUAAUCACCGAGAAUUCCAUAAUGUCUUAAAAGUCUCCUGGAAUCCACAAUGAAAAAAAAAAUCUUUUCUAAGGUAUUUUUCUGGCUAAUUUUUAUUUGAAGAAAGCUAUAGCAUUUAGCGAAAUUUGACUGAAGUAAUGUUCUGAGUUUGCAUUAGUGGGAUUGGUGAUGUUCUCAGAAGAAAAUUGGAAACACUUGUGAUGAAUUGUCUUUCAGAUCACUUAGAUUUUCUGAUGUAAGAGGACAGCUAUUUGGUUCUGAUACAGGCCUGCUUACUUGGGAUGUAGGGUUAGUAAAUGGGGUUUCUGCUUUAAAGGACUGACUUGCUAUCGCACAAGAGAGGCAGACUUGUAAACAAAAUGGGCUUUGGAGUUUGGUCUGAUUGGGUUUGGUUUAGUAUUCCUAUGAGCGUAAACGGCAAAAUUCUUCUGAUACCCACUCUUCAGACUGUGCCUUCUGCUCUGUUAUGUGUUUUAUGUUUAACUGCUGUUUCUAAUUGCAGGUGUAUUACAGAUACAAAUAAGAGUAAAGAAAAUAUAUUUCAUUAUAGAAAAGAAAAAAUUAAAAGCUUCUUGCUUUUCAGUGCCUGAUAGAGUGAAAACACAAAGUUGCACUUUAAUAAUUUCAAUAAAAGCUAAUCUGUGUCAGCCUCCCUCUGCUUCAGAGAGUCAGGUGAGCAUCCAUAACCUAACAGGCAGAGCCCUAGCGAUGUGGAUCAAGUUUCCUGAGCCCGGGGGCGGUGGAGCCUCAUGAUCUCUUAUCUUUUGAGGCUGAGGCAGGUCACAUGCAACACAUUGUGACCCUGCUCCCCACAAGUCAUGCAAAGGUUUUGAAGAGCUUUUACCGUGGGGCAGAUGAACUUGUGCCAACCAUGCACACCCUGUGAGAACCAAGUACCUGUGUUUCUAAGGCGGGCACUCAAGGUGAGAGGUGCAUUCUGGCCAAAGAAACAAAAGCUGUGGUUUCAGGACCAUGCCGUGUGUAGCUGGUCUGUACGGGACGUGUAUGUAAGGAAGAGCAAUCAUGAUAGAUAAGAACAGUGUGUGAAGCAGCCCUCACACUAGAGUGUUUGGUCAUCUCUUAUAAUGUAAGGGAAGGUACUUUAAAAUUCUGGGAAGAUGCGAUGAACUCAUGUCCCAGUCAGAAAAUAAUCCAAUGAAAUAAGCAUUGGUUGCCAGGCCACAGUUAGGAAUUGUAUUGUGAUACAUCUAGAGGCCAAGAGAGCAGGAGAGAGCUACCAACUUACACUGUGGUUUAAGCUAAAUGACCGCACAGCAUCAUAGCAUUGCAGUGUUGUUACUAAAUCUGGAAGUGACCUGUGAAUGUAUGGAAUACAAUAAAGUCUUUUAUUCUGGUUCA
rnacentral:sRNA from 1 species